AUAGAUUGAGGCAAUUAGAAUUGUCUGCUUGAACACUCACUUAUUAGUCACUUAAAUGGAGUUGGAAUAAAGGUUGUUCCAUGUAUUCAGUCAAAAGACAUUCAAUCAGGUGUUGUUGAGGAAUAAAUAUGAGUCAUUGUCUCAAGAAAACUAGGACCACUUUGCUGCUCUUCUUUCACAAAUGCAAUGGGAUCUCUUACACUGGCCUGAACGGAGAAGUGAUGGAGGAAAGCACUAAUUCUAACCAAGCCAUCUCAGAAGCUGACAGGAAUGAGUGGGAAGCUUCCGAACCAAUGCCUUUAGUUUCCCCCUGACACAGUUCAGUUAAAAUUACCCCUGCAGUCUCAGUUUAAUACCUCAUCCAAAAGAUGGUACCUCUGGUAAUGCAGCACUCCCUCAAUACUGCAAUCUAAAUGAGGUGCUGAAGGGCUGGGGUGUGUCUUGAACACGCCAUGUUCUGAAUGAGAAGAGAGGGCCCUGAUAACUGAUGCAGUAAUUCAUGAUCCCACAACAAGUUCACAUUGUUGGUACCAAGAAUUCCAAACCUGUUGCUGCACGUUAGAAGCAAAUGACAACACAGAGCAAUUAGGCACAAGGUUUACAGUAGCUGACUAAUGACUUCAUUGCUCAAUGCUAAUCCUGACUUGACCUCUCCUGCAACUUAAUAUUUGUGUGUUUCCUCCACAAAGUAUAUAAUUAUUUUUCUUGCUAACCCAGAUUCAGCACAGUCAUUUUUUUUAAAACCCAAUUUUAGAAGAUGCUGUACAAAUAAUCAGUGGCCACAACUUGUCCAUCAAGCUGCAUUAUGCUUUGAGUCACAUUGUAUUAAUAAGGCAGAGAAGGGAAGAAACGAAGCAAAUCCUGCACUCUGGAUCCCACUACCUCUUGGGACAUCCUGUCCCACGUGCCCAAAGAUCUGCAGGUCAAGAAUUGGCCUGCUAAGUCACAUGAAGACCCUUGACAGAAACUCGUGACCAUGAGCAGACAUCAUCCUCAAAUCAAGGGACAGCCUCAUUCAUCAAACUCCAGGGCUAAAAAAAACAUGAAAUGAGUGUAAAAUAAAUUCUGAAUUUGUCCUGUGAAUUAGCGAUAUUGUUAAUUCCCUAGAUUCUGGAGAGAUCCCAGUGGAUUGGAAAACUGCAUUUGUAACACCUCUAUUCAAGAAGGGAGGGGGACAGAAAACAAGAAACUGUAGGCCAGUUAGCCGAGCGUGUGUCAUUGGGAAAAUUCUAGAAUCCAUUAUUAAAGAUGUAGUGUCAGGAUAUUUAGAUAAUCAUAAUACAAUCAGGCAGAGUCAACAUGAUUUUCUUCUGAAAGGGAAAUCAUGUGUGACAAAUUUAUUAGAGCUCUUUGAUGUAACAAACAACAAGUUCACAUUGCUGGCACCAAGAAUUCAAAACCUGUUGCUGCACGUUAGAAGCAAAUGACAACACAGAACAAUUAGGCACAAGGUUUACAGUAGCUGACUAAUGACUUCAUUCCUCAAUGCUAAUCCUGACUUGACCUCUCCUGCAACUUGAUAUUUGUAUGUUUCCUCCACAGAGGUCAGCAAACUGAUCUGGGUUUUCCGCUCCCAUGUUUCACAUGUGCGACAUUCCCAGAGCUGGGACCACAGGGCUCUGAAUGACACAAACUGAAGGGGUCAGGUGUUGUGUCCUCAGGGUGACAUCGCUGCGAUUGGAGAUACUUUCAUGUGUUUUGGCAACUCAGCUUGGGUUGUGAAGAGUUACAUUUAUAUAGCGCCUCUCACAACCACAGGACAUUCCCAAAUUGAUUUACAGCCAAUGCAAUACUUUUGAAGUCACUGUUAUAAUGCAGGAAAAUGUGGCAACCAAUUUGCACAUAGCAAUCUCCCACAAAUAGCAAUGAAAUAAAAAUGAGUAUAUAA